GAAAUAUGGCUAGAAAUGCAUCUUCUGUUCAGUUUGGGAAAAGAAAUAUUCUUUUAGAGUUUUCAACCAAAUGGCAUAAUAUAUCUCGACAUUUAACUUCUGUUUGAUUUUGAAACUCUUAUAUGUUUUCCUUACAGGCAUUUUGGAAGAGUGUGUAUCCUGCUAUGAGAUUCAACUGCAUCAGCUGCCUGGGUGAGGCUAAGAGAAGGCAGGGAGUUGGAUGUUACCAGGAGCGGAGGUAUUUCCAGGUGAGGUUUAAGUUAUACCACGAAUCCUCAACUGCUGUGAGGUACCCCAGUUGGCUGAGCUGAUCCUUAGGAGACGAGGAGGCACAAUCACAGCUCACGUCCUCAGCUUCUCUCUGCCUCCUGCCCGCCCAUUCUCUCCCUCUUCACCUUUAUCCAGUUGUCCUUCUUCAAACCCACUUUGGGGGUUUUCUUUUCCAUCCUCUGGUGGCCCUGAUGUUUGCUUGCUAGUUAAGUGAUUUAUACAUUCCAGGCUGGAUCCAAGACAGUGUGGAAUGAAAACCAAAUGCAAAUUGGCUAGAAGGAAGGGCCAGAAUAAACACAAACUGAAGACCCCAAACCAACGGUGUCCAAGCUUGUGCAUGUAUCUGCGCUGUCCCCAUGGGGCCUUCCAACUCUGCUCAAAGCAAUCUCCAGGGCUGUUCUCCAAGGACAAUGGGUGAGUUAGAGAGAAGAUCUCUUUGUGCUUCCUUCUUUGCUUUUUAAAUUUAAGGUGGACAUGAUCUCAGGGCUUUGUACAGAAAACCUCUGAGGGUCAGUUGAGUGACCCACUUACCCUGCCAUUCCCCACCCUGCUGGGGUCCUCCUGCUACUUCAACUCCAUCACCACAGAGACUCAAUUCCUGCGCUCUGAGGUUCAAAUCUGCAUCUGCUGAAGAAUCUUCCAGAACUGCAACUCCCAUCUGCACUGGGAGCAUGUCUGGCCCACACCAGCUCAAGCACUGUGUGAAGGGUCCCAGUUAUUCAGUGUGAAAUUGUGUAAGACUUUCUCCUGGAGACAGGACCUUUGCAAUCACAGCUUGGGGAAUUGUCUUUACAAUAACCACUUCCUCUUAGGGAGUCAGCAGCCUGGGCUCAAAUCCUGCUUGGUCACUAAGAUAGUUUUGUGACUCUAGACAAGUCACAGCACCCCUCUUAGCCUACAUUUCUUCAUCCAUUCAACAAAUAUUCACAUAGCAGCUACCGGCACCAGGAAUAGAGAGGGGAGCAUGAUUGAUAAAUCAUCUUAGAAUUUAUGAUUGCAUUAUGGGAGUUACUCAGUAAAUGAGUUUUUAAAAAUCAGGGGGAGGGGGAAAACCUUUGAAGAACAAUUUGGCAAGAUCUAGAAAAGCUGAAAUUUGACUUCUCUUUGACCCAGUAAGUCUACUCUUAGGUAUAUACCCUAGAGAAAUUCUUAAACAUUCCCACAGGACAAAGAAUGAAUGUAAAAGAAUUUAAAUGACAACUCAUAAGAAAAUGAAAAAUGUGCGAUAUGUUCGUACAAUGGUAUAGAGCAGUAAAAAUGAAUGACCUAGAGCUGCACAUUUCAACAUGGACUAUCUCAUAAGCAUAACUGAAGAAUGUUGCAGAAAAAUAUGUAAAGUUUAAUGCCAUCUGUGUAGAGUUAAAAUGGACAAAUAUUAGAUACUAUUUAGUGGCAAGAGUAUUUUUUACAUGCAUGGGCAUUAAUAAGACCAAAUUAGAUUAGUGCUUUCUUCUGUGGAGGGAGGAAAGAGGAUGGAACUGGGGAGUAAUACAUAGGCGGUAUUAACUGUAUUGAUAAUGUUUUGUAUCUUAACCUACAUUGUGGUUACAUAGUUUUCAUUAUAAUAUUCUUAGGAUUUUGUGUCUAUAUUUUAAAUGUUGCCCUAUAAAAAUUUUAAAAUUUAUUAAAUAAUGAUAAGUGCUCUGAAGAAAAUAAACAUCUGAAGUGAUUGAGAGUGACUGGGGUUUGGUUGGGGGUACUGGAGAUUGGGUGGUCAAGGAAAGUUUCUCAGCAGAGGUACUGGGUUGAGCUGAAUCAUGACUGACAUGAAGGGAGCAGCCAUAACAGUAUCUAGGGGAGGAGCAUUGCAGGUGGAGAGAACAUCUAAUGCCAAGGGUCGUGAAUUGUAAAGGACCUAAGAUUUUACCCUCCUCGCAAGAUAGCAAGGUAGCCUGACUUAGUAGUGUGGAUGCUGACAGAAGACACAAGACUACUGGGUCAGAGCAAGAUAUGUUAUUAUUCACAGCAG
rnacentral:lncRNA from 10 species